AGAACGAACGCUGGCGGCAUGCCUAACACAUGCAAGUCGAACGAGACCUUCGGGUCUAGUGGCGCACGGGUGCGUAACGCGUGGGAAUCUGCCCUUGGGUUCGGAAUAACAGCGAGAAAUUGCUGCUAAUACCGGAUGAUGACGUAAGUCCAAAGAUUUAUCGCCCAAGGAUGAGCCCGCGUAGGAUUAGCUUGUUGGUGAGGUAAGAGCUCACCAAGGCGACGAUCCUUAGCUGGUCUGAGAGGAUGAUCAGCCACACUGGGACUGAGACACGGCCCAGACUCCUACGGGAGGCAGCAGGUGGGGAAUAUUGGACAAGUGGGACGAAAGCCUGAUCCAGACAAUGCCGCGUGAGUGAUGAAGGCCUUAGGGUGUAAAGUCUUACGUUUACCCGGGAUGAUAAUGACAGUACCGGAGAAUAAGCGUCCGGACUAAC
rnacentral:rRNA from 1 species